GUCUACUGCCAUACCACCCUGAACACGCCCGAUCUCGUCUGAUCUUGGAAGCUAAGCAGGGUCAGGCCUGGUUGGUACCUGGAUGGGAGAAUGGUUGCUUCAAAAGAGCCUGGGGGCCAAGCACA
rnacentral:rRNA from 1 species